rnacentral:rRNA from 1 species
UGGCGGAGAGGAGCACAGGGGUGGAGUCUAUAAAGGUGCGGCCCUUGCCGUAUAUGGCGGGGGCGGAGCACGGUAGAGGGAGGAAAAAAUCCCAAAGCGCGGAGUGAGGAGACGGGGAGAAAGGCGGGGCUGGGGCAGGCGAGCAGGCAAAUAUCCCAAUCCCAAGGCCGCUCGUCGAGACGGAGGGCGGCGGCCGCCGGUACCCACAGGGCCGCAAGAUGGCGACCGAGCGCCUCUUCAUGGGCUACCACCACCACCUGCACCACCUCCUCCUCGGGCACCUCUAGCUCCCGCAGGUCCAGGGGCAGCUGUGGAGGUUCGGGUUGGGGUUGCCGGAGCUCAAGCUGUUGGAGAUGGAGCUGUACUUGCCCUAAUAAGUGGGGACGAAGGUGGGGCUCCUGUCCGGGAGCGGCUGUUGUAAGCGACUCCAAAAGGUCACGUACAAACUAAUGUAUCUAUCCGAGAAAUAGUACCAAGCGGGAGCCUUCGAAUACAUGUACCGGUAACUACCACACCGAGGAGCACGAUUCUACUUGGUCGUCGCGAGAUCUGCUAAGUCUCGACGUUUUCUACGACGACUACGCCGACUUCUCCUUCUUUUUGACGCACUUCUCAAACUCUCCCUUCCUUCUUUCGAAGGAGGUUUUGACGUUAGUGUUUGUACACUAAGAUUACAAUAAUGAGGGCCGUGUCUCAAAUACCGACAAGAUAGUCAACGAAACGUCAUGAUGUAGGUGGCGUCUAACUUAAUACUAGGACCUACCUUUGUUUAAUUUCAAUAAGAAAGACUACGGUUACAAGGACCACUUCCCCUUGUAUUUUAGUACAGGAUAUAAGCACCGUUAUCCUUGGAACUACCUAAAUUGGGUUUAUGGGCUGUAACGGACAUGCCGGACCUACGUCUAGAUUAGUACAAUCGAGAUCGUUGUGUGCUUCACGUGAAGAGGUAUGACUCUCUCCACCAAAAGUGUGGACCUGUCGUCCUGUUUACGAAGAACACACCAGUUCAACCUGUAGAUCGUCGUUUCACACUUCCUUUCCGUUUUGCCUUUCGACCCCUCAAACUACUCUUCCCACUACUUUAUCAUGGUUUCUUUGGAAUGGUCAAGAACUUAUAUACCUGGGACGCUCUCAUGGAUCUUAUGCUCAAGGCUUACGGUUUAGGUCGAAAGCUCUGACUAUAACUUGCGUAGUAACUACUAAAGUAGAAGUACACGAAAAAACAACCGUUACUAAAAGAAGGUGUGUACGGCUGUGAUCUCUAAGCACUCCCUCGAUAAUUAAACAAUUACCGACAUAUGUUCUUCCUUAAAGGAUUAUACCCACCGAUAAAUUGACUGCGAACGUGCGGACUAGACUUAUCUCAGCUUGUGAAGUAAGUUCGUCAACCAAGUAUGCUCCUAUUUUAUAAAGUCUUUUCUCGAGCAAACGUGGUCGCAGUUCGACUUUCUUAUUUUGCACUAUUUCGGGUUCGUUUCGCUCCACUACUAGACCUAGGGGUACAUUCCCCACUAGAAUAACAUGGACAACGUGCAAAGGUUCCUAGAGCGGAACGGAGACCCCGACACCGAAGUGGUAUACUUGUAUUACCUGCAUCAUGCCUUUUCCCGUCAGUUCGAUUCUUUUGUGCACAUAGUAGAAGUCUAAGGUCGGAAAGACGACGACAACAACUUCGACUUUAAUCGCAACUUCGUGUCCGUGCACUUUUGUUUCUUCUGGACUUCAGUUACGAAUUUCAACGUGAAGCACUAUUUAGUCUAGAAAAAUUAAGACUUUUAGGGCUCCUCCUGUUCUAUUUCGAACCUCUUGGUCCUACCUCUCUUUCCAUAAUACUUCUGUUCAAACCCCGUUCUUGUGGACUCGUUUAACUUCUUUAUGCAUCUCUACAACAAGAGUUUAUAUGACUUCCAAACACAACCCAUUACGUGAUGAUAAUACUUCCACAGACGAGUACCGUUACCAAAAUGGGAAUAGUGAUACGGGGAAAACGAAGCCUAAAUUUUCCAAAUCCGGUCGAAUUAUAUUGAAAACUUGAACCCAGUGGUAAGUUUGGAAAGCUAGUCGAAUACCCUCAAAAGGGUCGCCGCUCGAGUGUACGUGAGGGACAUGUCAUAGCCGUUAACUACUGGCUAGGAUCAAGCGGUUAUUAACUGAAAAUAGGCUAACUAAAACUUCAUCUAUACUUACCUUUCUCCAAAAGAACCGUCCCCUAUCGAUUCGACGGGAAGUAACUACUUCGAUCCAACGACAGACUCUAAUUUUUUCAGCUCGUAUGAAACUGCGGACUUCUUCGUUCCGCUUUGUCAUGUUACAUGUUAUACGAAAAACACUUACCGCGUGUGGGUUAAAGCGGAAUAUAGAUGAGAGAGUCGUCGUUUAAGCCUGUAGACGGACUAUUGCUCGCUUUACUUUAAUUUCUCCUUGAGUUAGGGCUUCGAUCACCUCCUUACUUACCAAUGUAGAGUGAAACACCACCCCUAGGUUCAGGCGGACAGAAAUCUAGAGGACACCUACCUGACCUCCUAUAAUACCUGUUAGUUCACUAUACGAGUUAAAUGUUCGAAGGUCUGGGAGUAUUCGUGUAUCGUGCAGGUGGAGGACCACAAUAGUAUGGGUUCUUCUAACAACUUCGACCACUGGACUUUGGUGGCGGACACGACACCGUACUUCUGUUACCGUCCUCCGGAAUACUGUUAUUGUCCUUCGUAACACUAUUGUCGUCGUCCGUUUUGGGACGUCCUAGCUAUGUCCCGGCGGUUGAUCCCCUCCGACGUGUGGCUGAUCAACGUUUGUCGAACUUACAAGCGCCACCGCCUGUUAUGGGGGGCCGAUCCGGUAUAGUUUGAUAUUACUUACCAUACGUCGUAAUAGGUUUGCCUUACGGUGGUUCCUACCUCGUCGGACGACCUGCAAGACCAACCGUACAAGGAUCACUAUUAGAUGGGUUACCAGUCCGUGGUCGGAUACACGUCGGUAGUCCAGUAGUCAUAUGUUCUCUAUUAGCGCCUUCCGUUGUUGGUAUACGCUCUCUGUCGGUGUCACUAAGUUCUCCUCGUCCGGCCGUAGGUAGACCUAUGGUAGUCUUAUCAUCGUUGCGUAUAAGUAGUGUAUGACGAGGAGGCAGUAGCCCAAAACCUGCUAUACCCGUUGGGGGGAGCAUACGACCCCCGAUACGACGACCCCAGAUGGUCGGACGUGGUAUACGUCCUCGGGUUGUCACCGUCGUCGUUGGUGGAGUAUCAAGGAUAAGACCUCCACCCCGCGGACGACGAUCUGGAUUAAGUGCUGGCGUCGUCAGUGUCUUGGCGAUGUCGUUGAAUCUAUCCUGAAGUUUGUCCUCUGGUGGUCCAGUCCCGGCGAUGAUCCGAGCGGAGGAGAAACCAAGAUCGGGACCGAAACGACAGUGAGGAAUGAUCUUGAAUGGAACUGAAUUUAGUCCGUAUCCUUAUCUGUGUCGUAAACGUUUCAGACCACUAGAAGUUCGAAGAACUAGCACCAUAUUUUUAAUGGAUCCCCCUUCACAACAUAUGAUAUUUAAUAACGGUAUAGUGGUCUAUGACCUCAUCUGUGUAGGUUAAACGUUUAAGACCACUAGAGGUUACGAGGUUCUGUCGUCGUCUUCGUCGUCGUUUCUAACAUUCCCCGCACAACAUGUGAUCGUAAAUAAAAGUCUGGUGGUCUACAACCACCGACUAAAGACAAUAAAGUAAAACCCGCACUAUAUGUUCAAUAGACGACAACCCUCCUACAAUUGUUCAAAAACAUAACAUUUCUACUACAUACAUAGACCUAAGUAAGUUAAAACUACUACCUAUUAAUCUAUAUACGCAUUCUUUAGGGU